rnacentral:rRNA from 1 species
UACGUAGGGCCCGAGCAUUAUCCGGAAUUAUUGGGCGUAAAGAGCUCGUAGGCGGUUUGUCGCGUCUGCCGUGAAAGUCCGGGGCUCAACUCCGGAUCUGCGGUGGGUACGGGCAGACUAGAGUGAUGUAGGGGAGACUGGAAUUCCUGGUGUAGCGGUGAAAUGCGCAGAUAUCAGGAGGAACACCGAUGGCGAAGGCAGGUCUCUGGGCAUUAACUGACGCUGAGGAGCGAAAGCAUGGGGAGCGAACAGG